UACAGAGGUCUCAAGCGUUUGUUCGGAUUCAUUGGGCGUAAAGGGUGCGUAGGCGGCGCGGUAAGUCGGAUGUGAAAUCUCGGAGCUUAACUUCGAAAACUGCAUUCGAUACUGCCGUGCUUGAGGACUGGAGAGGAGACUGGAAUUUACGGUGUAGCGGUGGAAUGCGCAGAUAUCAGGAGGAACACCGGUGGCGAAAGGGCGGGGAUCCUGGGGCCCAGUACUGACGCUGAGGGAGCGAAAAGCGUGGGGGGAGCAAAACAGGG
rnacentral:rRNA from 1 species